AACGAACGCUGGCGGCAUGCCUAACACAUGCAAGUCGAACGAGACCUUCGGGUCUCGUGGCGCACGGGUGCGUAACGCGUGGGAACCUUCCCUUAGGUUCUGAAUAACUCCCCUAAAGGGGUGCUAAUCCCGGAUAAUGUCUUCGGACCAAAGAUUUAUCGCCUUUGGAUGGGCCCGCGUUGGAUUAGCUAGUUGGUAGGGUAAAAGCCUACCAAGGCGACGAUCCAUAGCUGGUCUGAGAGGAUGAUCAGCCACACUGGGACUGAGACACGGCCCAGACUCCUACGGGAGGCAGCAGUGGGGAAUAUUGGACAAUGGGCGAAAGCCUGAUCCAGCAAUGCCGCGUGAGGGAUGAAGGCCUUAGGGUUGUAAAGCUCUUUUACCCGGGAUGAUAAUGACAGUACCGGGAGAAUAAGCUCCGGCUAACUCCGUG
rnacentral:rRNA from 1 species